GCUGGACGUUAUCUUGGAGGGGCAGCAUACAGACCCACUGCGAUCAGAGGAGGCCUGAAACAAGGAUAUGGAACACUUGGUUAUGGAGGAGCUGCAAACCUUGGAACUGGCCUCGGGGCUGCCAGGCUGGGACUCGGCAC